rnacentral:sRNA from 1 species
GUUGGCCUCAGAUCAGGGAGGAUCACCCGCCGAAU